AACUUUCAACACUGGAUCCCUUGGCUCUUGCACCGAUGAAGAACGCAGCAGCGAGCGAAAUGUAGUGUGAAUCGCAAGACAUUGUGAAUCAUCCAAUCUUUGAACGCACAUUGCACCUCUCGUUAUGGGGAGGUAUGCCUGUCUGAGCGUCAUUAAAUCCAACUAGGCCCCACCGGGUCCUGUCUUGGGCCUCGCCCCUUUCCGGGCGUCGCCUCAAAAGCAUGUCGUGAGAAGCGGAGGAGUUCCCCUGGGACAUACCGUUUCGACGAUCACGCGAUUCAUCCGAACAAUACGACCUCAGAUCAGGUAGGAUCACCGCCUGAACUUAAGCAUAUCAAUAAGGCGAGGAAAAGAAACCAACAGGGAUUCCCUCAGUAGCGGCGAGCGAAGCGGGAGAAGCUCAAGUUUGAAAUCCGGGUCUCGGCCUGGAGUUGUAAGCUGGAGGGACGUCUGCCAAAGCGGCCCGGGCCCAAUUCACUUGGAACAGUGAGUCAUGGAGGGUGAGAACCCCGUCUGUGGCCCGGUGCCUCGCUUUUCAGUGCGGCGGCCCCAAAGAGUCGGGUUGUUUGGGAAUGCAGCUCAAAAUGGGUGGUAAAUUUCAUCUAAAGCUAAAUAUUGGCAAGAGACCGAUAGCGAACAAGUAGAGUGAUCGAAAGGUGAAAAGCACUUUGAAAAGAGAGUGAAACAGUGCGUGAAAUUGUUGAAAGGGAA
rnacentral:misc_RNA from 1 species